GAAAUAUUGGCUCCUGUAUGAUCACUGAAGUUAAGCAACAUUGAGCCUGGUCAGUACUUAGAUGGGUGACUGCUUGAGAAUACCAGGU